GGAGGUGGCUUUUGUUAAGGGGGAACGAUGAGUUCAAGGGGUUCUGACUUAUUCUGGCAAGUUUCUCCAGCUCUACAAGAACUUCUAGUGCUCUGGGCAGCUGCGAGGGGUCAAGAAACCACAUCCCCAAAUCCAGCGGGAUCUCAGAGAGAAAGGCUGAUGGGAAGCUGCCCAGGGCUGACCUGGCACAUGCUGGGAAAACCCCUCGGUGCCAGGGCAGGAGGCAGAGCGUCUGCAGCUCCUCCCUCCCCAACACAGGGGCUAAGUUCCUGUUGACGAGGCGGCCCAGCUCCCCAGGCGUGGCUGUGUUCCGGAUAUCCACAUCGUGGGGCGACACAUAAAGCUUUGUGUCAUUCAAGUCAAAGAACUCGACUUCUGUGAGACCCACCCACCACGAGUUGCCCCAGUUGGACAGGAUCUCCAUGGUCACGUAGAUGGCAUCUUUGAUCUCGUCUGCCCUCAUUCUCUGUUUGUCCUUAAAGAAGAGAAAAAUAACACCAAAGGAUUAAGUCAUGACAGGCUUGAAUUCGGCUCUGCCUCUGCCACCACUGCCUUCAAAAAGUUAGUUAACCUUCAGGGUCUCAGUCUCUCCAUCUGUACAAUGAGGAUAAGAAUAGCACCCACUACCUAUGGUUAUUACAAUGAUUAAAUGAAUUCAUACUGUAAAGCAUUCAAAAUAGAGGCCCUGUGUAACUGGCACUCUGUGAGCAUUCUGUUUGAAAGUUUACAAAUAAAUAAAAAUGUCUAAAAAGCAUUGAAUUCUGCCUGAACAUGCACGUCUCUCCCCCACUACUCAGUGUUCGGUACCCAGAAGCUUGUCACGACAUCUGCUGAAUUGAGUAGGUGUUACGUGCUAAGGCCGGGCACGGUGGCUCACGCCUGUAAUCCCAACACUUUGAGAGGCCAAGCUCGGAGGAUUCCUCGAGGCCAGGAGUUCAAGAUCAGCCUAAGCAACAAAGUGAGAUCCUGUCUUUACAAAAAAAUUAAAAAAAAAAAAGAGCUUGGCACAGCGGCACAUGCCUGUAGUCCCAGCUACGCAGGAGGCUGAGGCAGGAGGAUUGCUGGAGCCCAGGUGGUUGAGGCUGCAGUGAGCUGUGUUCACACCACUGCAUUCCAGCCUGGGUGAAAGACCCAGUCUCAAAAAAAAAAAAAAAAGGUUACGGGCUGAAUUUAUCCCUUCCAAAUUAAUCUGAUGAAACUCUAAUCCCCAGUACCUCAGAAUAUGACUGUAUUUGGAGAUAAGGCCUUUAAAUAGGUGAUUAAGUUAAAAUGAGGCUGUGGGGGAGGGGGGCACUAAUCCAAUCUAACUGGUGUCCUUAUAAGAGGAAAGUUGGACACACAGAGAGACACACCAAGGAUGCACACACAGAAAAAGGCCAUAUGAGGGCAAAGCAAGAAGGCAGCUAUCUGCAAGCCAGAGAGAGGCCUCAGAACAAACCAAACCUGCCAACACCUUGAUCUUGGACUUCCAGCCUUCGGAAUUGUGAGAAAACAAAUCUCUGUUGUUGAAGCCACCCCAUGUGUGGUAUUUUGUUAUGGCAGCCCUGGUGGACUGAUAUAGUAGGUAACAUGGCCCCCUGGCCUUGGACAAGUCACUUGACAUCCCUCGGCCUGGUUGGGGAAGAGGACAUGACACCAUCUAUGUGAUAAUCCUGUCACAGAUGUUAAACAAGAUAUCAAUACCUAAGAAGGCCCUAUCAUGAGCCUCGGCCCUGGGUGCGCUCUGUAAGUGUCUGUUUCUUUCUGUUUCUCUCCUUCAUUGGUUUUAAUGCCUGCCUCCUUCCUGCGUCGGCUGUCUGCUCUGAGAGCCUGCGUGAAUGCCAUCAAUAAAUGGCCACCGUUCGGAAUGGCUUCCUGAGGCCCUCCAGGGCUGAUUGCAGCACUGGUCGCCACGGAUCAGUCACUCACAAAAUGGUGCAUUCCCCAUGUGCACAUGCCCUCUGUUAAUUAGCAUGGGUAAUCUGCAAUGGUUCUGUGAGCAGGGAGCCAAGCAAAUGAACAGCAACUGUUCCCCACUUAUUUUUUUAAUUAAUAGCCAGCGAGACGUGCUAUUGCUCUCAGUGUGUGUUUGGAGGGGCCUUGAUUGCCACACGGUGGGAACGCGGAUAGGGAGGAGGGAGAGAGGUCAGCUCACAGCUCCUGGAUAAAAGAUAGGGCCUGUUUUGAUCAGCUGGGCCCUCGAAACCCACAGCUUCCUCCUGCUCC
rnacentral:lncRNA from 10 species